GACGAACGCUGGCGGCGUGCCUAACACAUGCAAGUUGAGCGACGAACCAGGGCUUUCCCUGGGGCAAAGCAGCGAACGGGUGAGUAACACGUGGGUAACCUACCCCGAUAACCGGGACAACCCGCGGAAACUCGGGCUAAUACCGGAUGUGCUCACUGGACUUCGGUUCAGUGCGUAAAGGAAGCGUCGGCCUCCGUAUCGGGCGGGUCCCGCUGCCCAUUAUUUGGUUGGUGGGGAAACGGCGCACCAAGACCGCGAUGGUUAGCUGGUCUGCUGGGACGAUCAGCAACACUGGGACGGGAACACGGCCCAGACUCCUCGGGGAGGAAGCAGUGGGGAAUCUUGCGCAAUGCGCGAAAGCGUGACGCAGCAACGCCGCGUGGGGGAAGAAGGCCUUCGGGUUGUAAACCCUGUUCAGGAGGGACGAAGGUUCGGCGGUGAAUAGCCGUCCGGACUGACGGUACCUCCACAAGAAGCCCCGGCUAACUACGUG
rnacentral:rRNA from 1 species